GUGUCAGCCGCCGCGGUAAUACGUAGGUGGCAAGCGUUGUCCGGAUUUACUGGGCGUAAAGGGAGCGUAGGCGGAUUUUUAAGCGGGAUGUGAAAUACUCGGGCUCAACCUGAGUGCUGCAUUCCAAACUGGAAGUCUAGAGUACAGGAGGGGAAAGUGGAAUGCCUAGUGUAGCGGUGGAAUGCGUAGAGAUUAGGAAGAACACCAGUGGCGAAGGCGACUUUCUGGACUGUAACUGACGCUGAGGCUCGAAAGCGUGGGGAGCAAACAGGAUUAGAAACCCCCGUAGUCC
rnacentral:rRNA from 1 species